rnacentral:rRNA from 1 species
GAAGCUGGAGUUGCUAGUAAUCGCGAAUCAGCAUGUCGCGGUGAAUACGUUCCCGGGCCUUGUACACACCGCCCGUCACACCAUGAGAGUUGGCAAUACCCAACGUACGUGAUCUAACCCGCAAGGGAGGAAGCGUCCUAAGGUAGGGUCAGCGAUUGGGGUGAAGUCGUAACAAGGUAGC